rnacentral:rRNA from 1 species
AAAGAGCUAAUUAAUUAAAAAAGUUACUGUGGUAAAAUUAUUUUAAAUAAUUAAUUUGCAAUGAAAUGUUAUUCGUUUUUAAAUAUAUCUAGUUUUUUAAGAAAAAAAUUUAAUUUUAAAUUUUUUAGGGGAUAAAUUAAUUGAUUAAUUUAUUUUUGAAAAAAUUUUAUAUUUUAGGGGAUAAGCUUUAAAUUAAAAUUUUAUAAUAAUUUAAAUUAAAAUUAUUGAAAAUUAUAUAAUUUAUAUUGUUAAUAAAAUUUAAUUUAUUAUAAAUAAUUUCAUUAAAAUAAAAAUUUAAUUUAAUUUAAUUUUUUAUUAAAAAAUAUUUUUUAAUGGGAAAAAAUUAGUUAUAAUGAUGAAAUUAGUAUAUAUUUAUUUAAGUUAAAUAUUAUUUUUAAUUUAAUUUAAUUAAUAAAAAGGAAUUCGGCAAAACUUAUAUUCACUUGUUUAACAAAAACAUGUCUUUUUGUAUUUAAUUUAAAGUCUAAUCUGCCCACUGAUUUAAUUAUUAAAGGGCUGCAGUAUAUUGACUGUACAAAGGUAGCAUAAUCAUUAGUCAUUUAAUUGAUGACUUGUAUGAAAGAUUGGAUGAAAUAUUGACUGUCUCUUUAUUAAUAUAUAGAACUUAAUUUUUUAAUCAAAAAGUUAAAAUAAAUUAAAAAGACGAGAAGACCCUAUAGAGUUUAAUAAAUUAAUUUAUUUAAAAUUAUUUAUAAUUAAUAAAUUAAAAUAAAUUUAUUUAUUUUGUUGGGGUGACAAAAAAAUAUAAAUAACUUUUUUAAAACAAUAAACAUAAAUAAGUGAUAAUUUGAUCCAAUUUUAUUGAUUAAAAGAAAAAAUUACCUUAGGGAUAACAGCGUAAUUUUUUUUUUUAGUACAAAUAAGAAAAAGAGUUUGCGACCUCGAUGUUGGAUUAAGAUAAAAUUUAAACGCAAAAGUUUAAAAUUUUG